rnacentral:lncRNA from 1 species
AAUAAUGUUUUGCAGUAUCAGAAACUGGUAGUAGUUUAUAUUUAAAGGAGCAAGUUAAUGUAAAAGAUAAUAAUAUUUUGUAUGAUCAAGAACAAAAUUAAUGACAGCACAUGUUGCAAAAGGACCAAAGAAGAAGGUUGAACAUAACAUCUUCCCUGCCUCCAUUUGUGCCUGAGCUGCAAUAUAGAUAUCAAUUACAAAGCAUUGUGGUUUUAGCAAAACCAUAAGAAUUGGAUUGUUGAAGGUAACAUGUAGGUUGAAAGAUGGUUGGUGAGGUUUGUAUGAGAAAAAUGAUGAAUGUGUGAUGUGGGUGGUGAGAGCAAAAGGGUUAUUUUGGCCUUACCUUUGGUAUGAGAAUGCCUUGGUUCUUGAAGGAAAGGAGAAAGGUGCAGGUCUACCAUCCCUUCAACCCUAACAAAUAAGGACUAAAGCUAUAAGCAU